rnacentral:rRNA from 1 species
UACGGAGGUGGCAGGCGUUACUCGGAUUGAUUGGGUGUAAAGGGCGUGUAGGUGGUAUGUUAAGUCGAAUGUGAAAUCCCUUGGCUCAACCAAGGAACUGCAUUCGAAACUGACGUGCUUGAGCGAUAGAGAGGUAAGUGGAAUUCCCGGUGUAACAGUGAAAUGUGUAGAUAUCGGGAGGAACACCAGUGGCGAAGGCGACUUACUGGCUAUCUGCUGACACUGAAACGCGAGAGCUAGGGGAGCAAACAGG